UUGAACUGAAGAGUUUGAUCCUGGCUCAGAUUGAACGCUGGCGGCAUGCCUUACACAUGCAAGUCGAACGGCAGCACGGGGGCAACCCUGGUGGCGAGUGGCGAACGGGUGAGUAAUACAUCGGAACGUGUCCUGUAGUGGGGGAUAGCCCGGCGAAAGCCGGAUUAAUACCGCAUACGCUCUACGGAGGAA
rnacentral:rRNA from 1 species